UGGAGGACUGUGAUGAGGGCCACUGC
rnacentral:piRNA from 1 species